rnacentral:lncRNA from 1 species
UCAUUGAAAAUAAGUAAACAGCUGCUUUUCAGACUUGGGAAAAAUCUUUAAAUAGAAACCAAUAUGAGAAAUAAAUAGGCUCAAAUACAUAAAAUAAAUGUGAAAUUUUAAGACUCUUGUCUUUAUAUUUAAGAACAUAUGAUGGGAGCGAUGAUUUUUAUGCUCACUCAAAAUGGACUCUUUACAUUCCUUCAUUCAUCAGAGUGUGUUUUUCUGAUGAUUAUAUGUAAAAUAAUAUUCUGAACUCUAUAUUGUCCAUGUAAAUGCUAGCAUUUGCUUGAUUCCCUGUCUUCCUUGACUUCCAUCUUAGGAGACUUCACAAUUCCUACACAUCCUGCUUCGCCUAACUGGUUUUCAGUUUAAUAUUGGUUCCAAGCAUUGCUAAAUUAAUGAAUUACUUCUUCCAAAAGAAUAUGUGGUACAGAUAGGAAUCAAGUUUAUGCCUUGUAGGUACAGACAAAUAGGUUUUCCUUGAGAAAUCAUUUGUGAUUCAUAGAAUGGUAUUACCAGAAAAAAGAAAAAGAAAAAGAAAAAGGAAGGAAAAGAAAAGGAAAAAGAAAAAGAAAAAGAAAAAGAAAAAGAAAAAGAAAAAGAAAAAGAAAAAGAAAAAUUAAUCACAUGGUAAAAGAGUCUAUGGAGAAAAUGUGUAAAAUGAUAAAAUGGUAAAAAUGACAAAAAGGUCUUGUAUUACUCUCAUAAUAGCUCACUAUGGGUAAGAAAUCUGGCCCAACAUUAAAUAUUUAUACAUUUGAUAAUAUGAGUAUUUAAUUACUAUCUUUUAGUAUACAUUUUCUAGUAAUAUCAGAAUAUGAAAAAUAAGUACCCUCUUCCAAUAUUCAAAGCAUAAACAUAAGUAAAUAAGUAAACACAUGACCGAUCAAGUCUGUGGAGUAUAGAGUCAUUCCUGGUGAACGGUUUGGUGUAUGGAGUGUCACUCAUUAAUUGACGUAAGUAGGGAAGAGACAGCAAACACUUUACAGAGUUGUCAUUAAUGAACCAAAAUCAUUCGUUCUCACUUCUUAUGAGUAUGAAACCUUCUCACUAUCUUAUUUCUCUCGACAAACCUCAGCUCUUUAACCUUCUGUUUCAGAUGUGGAAAAGAUUCACCUCUGAUAGAAUGCUUCUCAUAAUUAACAAUAUCUGAUUACUGAAUUGAUCUUCUACAGUUUUACUUGGAAUAUAUUACCUUUAAGUUUUUUUUUUUUUUAACUCUUACAAGGACAACGUUUAAUUGGGGUUGGCUUACAGGUUCAGAGAUACAGUUCAUUAUCAAGGUGGGAGCAUGGCAGUGUCUAGGAGAUAUAGGACUGGAGGAGCUGAGAGUUCCACCUCUUAUUCUGAAGGCUGCUAGGAGAAGACUGGCUUCCAGGCAGCCAGAAUGAGGUUCUUAAAGCCCAUGCCUACAGUGACACACUUCCUUGAACAAGGCCACACCUAUUCCAACAAGGCCACACCUCCUAAUAGUGCCACUCCCUGGGCCAAGCAUAUUCAAACCACCACACUUCUUCUUUUUUUUUUUUUAAAUUAGGUGUUUUCCUCAUUUACAUUUUCAAUGCUAUCCCAAAGGUCCCCCAUACCCCCCCAAUCCCCUACCCACCCACUCCCCCUUUUUGGCUCUGGCGUUCCCCUGUACUGGGGCAUAUAAAUUUUGCAAGUCCAAUGGGCCUCUCUUUGCAGUGAUGGCCGACUAGGCCAUCUUUUGAUACAUAUGCAGCUAAAGACAAGAGCUCCUGGGUACUGGUUAGUUCAUAUUGUUGUUCCACCUAUAGGGUUGCAGUUCCCUAUAGCUCCUUGUGUAAUUUCUCUAGCUCCUCCAUUAGGGGCCGUGUGACCCAUCCAAUAGCUGACUGUGAUCAUCCACUUCUGUGUUUGCUAGGCCCCGGCAUAGUCUCACAAGAGAGAGCUAUAACUGGGUCCUUUCAGCGAAAUCUUGCUAGUGUAUGCAAUGGUGUCAGCAUUUGGAAGAUGAUUAUGGGAUGGAUCCCUGCAUAUGCCAGUCACUAGAUGGUCCAUCCUUUCGUCACAGCUCCAAAUUUUGUCUCUGUAACUCCUUCUAUGGGUGUUUUGUUCCCAUUUCUAAGAAAGGGUAAAGUGUCCACACUUUGGUCUUCGUUCUUCUUGAAUUUCAUGCGUUUGGCAAGAUGUAUCUUAUAUCUUGGGUAUCCUAAGUUUCUGGGCUAUUAUCCACUUAUCAGUGAGUACAUAUUAUGCCUUUAAGUUAUUGAAAAGUUGUGGCAGGAAGCUGAAUAUCUUAUUCCAAUUCUUUUUGUUUUGCUAUAUUAAUACUCCUGACAAGUCAGGUACAUUACUCAUGGUAUUUAGUCGGUUUAUUUUUCCUAUUUACAUUUGGUAGAGGUUCCUCAAUGAGUGUUUAAAGGGUAGAGAAAUGACAGUUGGCUGAUAUUCUAUCUUUUUUUCUUUUCCCCACCUACAUCUAUAUAAGAUCGCCAUGAAAAGCGAACUUGGAAAUGAUUUUUACUUCUCAAGUUGUAUUUAUCACAUGUCUCCAUGCUCGUUCAAAGACUGCUGUGUUAACAGUGCCUCGUUUUAUUAGCUGAGUGAACUUGAGCGAUUUAUUAAACACAUCUGUUCUUUAGUUUCUCUAAUGCAAAAUGAAAAUAGGACAUUUAUGCUAUCUGGUUGAUUCUCUGAAGACAUACUUCAUAUAUGUGUGGAGUUUCUAAAAUUAAAGUAACAAUGAAUCAUGAUCUGCCAUUAUUAUUUACUUUUACCUUAACAAGACUAUCUAUGUGAUAAACUAGCAUGGCAAUUGGCAGUUUCACCACUUAAUUUAUAUUCUCAUGACAUCUAUCCAUUAUGGGGAAAACUUUCUGGUGUUAAAAAUUGUUAUAAUUGACUAAUUCAAGGUGAUUUGUACUUGGAAGAUUUAUAAUAUGCUCUGUCUUAUUGCUUCUGUUGACUCUACCCUCCAUGAAUAUAGUCAGAGUUGCUUGGUAAGCAUUUAUCAUGCUAGCUCAUAGUGAAGAUACGGACUCCUUAAUGGAAACUUUAAACCCACAAUUUUCUUUUAUUAGCUUAGUGCCAUGAUUAAUAUCCUCAAAAUAAACAAAGGAGGCAAAGAGCUUAAGCAUCUCUAAUACCAGACAGGCUUUUAUUAGUGUCAUAUCAAAAGUCAUUUAACUACUAUGUGGUUAAGGCUGUCUUAUUGAAACAAAGUUAUGUCAUAACACUGCUGCAGAGAAGGUGAAGAGUUCACAUUGCACUGCAUGUUCAGUUGCUCAUAAUUAAACUUUACAAAAUCAAAUUUCACUGAGGAACAGCCUCAGAAUCAUAAUUGGCAUAAAACCUGUGCAGUGUGUCUUUUUAUAGUAAAUUUUCAUUUCUAGAACUUAUGGAUAAGGUCAACUGUCUGAAACCCAAAUAUUUUGGGUUUUUUUUAUAAGAUAUAUUAGUCAUGCCCUUUUACCUGCACCCAAACUUCCCAGAUUCUCCCAAUCUUCCUUCCUACCGAACUUCAUGUUUUUUCUCUCUCCCUCUCUCCCUCUCUUGCGCCCUCUCUGUCUAUUCCUCCUAGUCAACCAAUGAAGUUAACAAACAAAACAAU